AGCGAACGCUGGCGGCAGGCCUAACACGUGCAAGUCGAACGAACUCUUCGGAGUUAGUGGCGGACGGGUGAUUAACACGUGGGAACGUGCCUUUAGGUUCGGAAUAACUCAGGGAAACUUGUGCUAAUACCGAAUGUGCCCUUCGGGGGAAAGAUUUAUCGCCUUUAGAGCGACCCGCGUCUGAUUAGCUAGUUGGUGAGGUAACGGCUCACCAAGGCGACGAUCAGUAGCUGGUCUGAGAGGAUGACCAGCCACACUGGGACUGAGACACGGCCCAGACUCCUACGGGAGGCAGCAGUGGGGAAUCUUGCGCAAUGGGCGAAAGCCUGACGCAGCCAUGCCGCGUGAAUGAUGAAGGUCUUAGGAUUGUAAAAUUCUUUCACCGGGGACGAUAAUGACGGUACCCGGAGAAGAAGCCCCGGCUAACUUCGUGCCAGCCGCCGCAGUAAGAC
rnacentral:rRNA from 1 species